rnacentral:rRNA from 1 species
GUAGGGCGCAAGCGUUGUCCGGAAUUAUUGGGCGUAAAGAGCUCGUAGGCGGCUUGUCACGUCGGGUGUGAAAGCCCGGGGCUUAACCCCGGGUCUGCAUUCGAUACGGGCAGGCUAGAGUGUGGUAGGGGAGAUCGGAAUUCCUGGUGUAGCGGUGAAAUGCGCAGAUAUCAGGAGGAACACCGGUGGCGAAGGCGGAUCUCUGGGCCAUUACUGACGCUGAGGAGCGAAAGCGUGGGGAGCGAACAGGAUUAGAUACCCUGGUAGUCCACGCCGUAAACGGUGGGAACUAGGUGUUGGCGACAUUCCACGUCGUCGGUGCCGCAGCUAACGCAUUAAGUUCCCCGCCUGGGGAGUACGGCCGCAAGGCG